UACGUAGGUGGCAAGCGUUAUCCGGAAUUAUUGGGCGUAAAGCGCGCGCAGGCGGUUUCUUAAGUCUGAUGUGAAAGCCCACGGCUCAACCGUGGAGGGUCAUUGGAAACUGGGGGACUUGAGUGCAGAAGAGGAGAGUGGAAUUCCACGUGUAGCGGUGAAAUGCGUAGAGAUGUGGAGGAACACCAGUGGCGAAGGCGACUCUCUGGUCUGUAACUGACGCUGAGGCGCGAAAGCGUGGGGAGCAAACAGG
rnacentral:rRNA from 1 species